rnacentral:misc_RNA from 1 species
AAGUCGUAACAAGGUCUCCGUAGGUGAACCUGCGGAGGGAUCAUUAACACAUCCAAACCCAAAAACACUAUCAAACCAAACCGUGAACCAAUUUCCCAUUUUUUUAACCCCAUAAACAAACAACUUGUCUAACAAAUGAUGACAGCAAAAUCGGCGAUCGAAUGUGUGCAUCGUGUCAUGUACGCGUGUGUCUCACACACGUCCUUUCACCUACACACACUUCGACGCUCGUUUUCUCUCAUUCAAAUUAUAUAACAAAAACCAAAGAACAACUCUUAGCAAUGGAUAUCUUGGUUCUC